GAUGAACGCUGGCGGCGUGCCUAAUACAUGCAAGUCGAGCGAACAGAUAAGGAGCUUGCUCCUUUGACGUUAGCGGCGGACGGGUGAGUAACACGUGGAUAGCCUACCUAUAAGACUGGGAUAACUUCGGGAAACCGGAGCUAAUACCGGAUAACAUAUUGAACCGCAUGGUUCAAUAGUGAAAGGCGGCUUUGCUGUCACUUAUAGAUGGAUCCGCGCCGUAUUAGCUAGUUGGUAAGGUAACGGCUUACCAAGGCAACGAUACGUAGCCGACCUGAGAGGGUGAUCGGCCACACUGGAACUGAGACACGGUCCAGACUCCUACGGGAGGCAGCAGUAGGGAAUCUUCCGCAAUGGGCGAAAGCCUGACGGAGCAACGCCGCGUGAGUGAUGAAGGUCUUCGGAUCGUAAAACUCUGUUAUCAGGGAAGAACAAAUGUGUAAGUAACUGUGCACAUCUUGACGGUACCUGAUCAGAAAGCCACGGCUAACUACGUG
rnacentral:rRNA from 1 species